rnacentral:rRNA from 1 species
UACGUAGGCAGCGAGCGUUGUUCGGAAUUACUGGGCGUAAAGAGUGUGUAGGCGGUGCUCCCAGUCUGUUGUGAAAUCUCCCGGCUUAACUGGGAGGGUGCAGCGGAAACUAGAGUGCUAGAGGGUGGGAGAGGUAAGCGGAAUUCCUGGUGGUAGCGGUGAAAUGCGUAGAUAUCAGGAGGAACACCUGUGGUGUAGACAGCUUACUGGACCACUUCUGACGCUGAGACACGAAAGCGUGGGUAGCAAACAGG